rnacentral:rRNA from 1 species
GACGAACCGUCCAAACGUUAUUCGGAAUCACUGGGCUUACAGAGUUCGUAGGCGGUCUGGAAAGUUGGGUGUGAAAUCCCUCGGCUCAACCGAGGAACUGCGCUUGAAACUACCAGACUCGAGGGAGAUAGAGGAAAGCGGAACUGAUGGUGGAGCGGUGAAAUGCGUUGAUAUCAUCAGGAACACCGGUGGCGAAGGCGGCUUUCUGGGUCUUACCUGACGCUGAGACGCGAAAGCGUGGGGAGCGAACAGG